rnacentral:rRNA from 1 species
UACGUAGGGGGCAAGCGUUGUCCGGAAUUACUGGGCGUAAAGAGCUCGUAGGUGGUUUGUCGCGUUGUUCGUGAAAACUCACAGCUCAACUGUGGGCGUGCGGGCGAUACGGGCAGACUAGAGGUAGGCAGGGGAGAGCGGAACUCCUGGUGUAGGCGGUGGAAUGCGCAGAUAUCAGGAGGAACACCGGUGGCGAAGGCGGGUCUCUGGGCAGUAACUGACGCUGAGGAGCGAAAGCGCGGGGAGCGAACAGG